AACUGGAGGCCAGGGUGCAAAGAGCCCAGCGAUGCAGUCAGGAAAGGUCAGCCUCUCAGACGCAGAGCAGGGCCAAGGGAAGCGGCCUGAUAGCUGGGGCAGUGUGGUACACAGAGGGUGUUGCGCUGAAUCGAACUGAACCAAAUGGAGAAAUGGAUUUCCAGUAAAGGGUGCUGUGUGGUCAAGGCAACUGGACCCUGGACCUCUGGGGUUUCACUUCCAGCUUAUCUGGGUGAGUGAAUCAUCAGAUUUUGGUGACCUCUUGGGGGCCUGAGUCACACACAUGCAGGAGGAGCUGAGUUGCUGGUGCAUGUUAAGUGUUUCAAGCUGUAAUUAUAUCCUCCACCUCCUCAGAGCGUCUAGACUAGAUUGCGAGAGCUGGAAGAAAAAAAUGACUGCAGCUUUCUGUGGUCCUUGAACAAAUGGGAAUUCCUGGCGGAGGCCCUUUUCCCAGAGCACACAGGAGCAGCAAAUCCCCAGAAGCAGCAGCAGCCUGGGCCAGGAAGAUGAAGAGAAAAAAGGAAAAGACGUGCCUCGCUGAAGAGUCUCAAAAGGAAAGAGAUUCCAGUCAAGAAGUGGCUAUCGGAGUGGAAGGGAUUGUGUUGUGUUCUCCAGAAAAAAUGCUCAUGUGACCUACUAUCAGUAAUGUUAAUAAUAACACUGCAUGUGCACCAAACAUUUGUUAUGGGCCAGACACAGUGCUAAGCAUCUUACGUACUUGGCUGCACUUCAUCUCUACAACCGCCCUAUGAGACAGUGCCCGAGCAUUCCCUGCAUCACCAUCUGGAGCUCACCGCUGUCUUGAGACGACAGACUCGCCUCCAUUUGUGGAGCUGCCUCAUUUAGUGAAAAAAUGAAAUACCGAAGGAAAAAUGGAAAAACAGGAUGAUGUAACAGCAGUCUAACCUGAUCUUAUUCACGUGCACCUGGGUGGAGUUCCAGGAGAGGGAAUGGAAGCACACGGGGCUUGCUGAGACCUGGGCUCACACUUCAACAUCAACAUCUCCAGUGCAUUCUAUUGGCCAAAGCAAGUCACAGGAGCAGCCCAGAUUGAAGGGAGUGAGAACUCAUAUCUACUCCUUGAUGGGAGGAGCUGCAAAGUCACAAGGUGAAGGGAGUGGAUACAAGAGUGGAAAACUGUGGUCAUAUCUGCAGACGACCACAGCUUUGUUGUUCAGUUUCCUGUUAGUUUUCCAAUGCCUCCUUUUUUAAAUAAAGGUCCUAUAUGUCA